GUAUCUUUGGCAGAAAUACCCAGCAUGUAUCAUACAGGAUGCAGGGAGAGACUGAACAAUUAUAAACCUUGGAUAGCCAUCCAGAGCAUCUUUCUACGUGGCUGGAUGGGUACAGGAAAGAACAGAAAACCUCAAGCCUCCAGCAACAACUGGAAGCAGACAUUGGAGACCGGACCUGGAACCACGCUGUGCCUGCUGCAGAGCAUCUGUGGUCCCACAGCUCUCCAGGGUGAAGCUUUGUUUUUUCACGUUAUCAUCUGCAUUAUGAGCAAGAAACAAGACGUAGACCACAGACGCCAUUCCCAGCAGUGCUGAGCUUUUACUUCCAAGUGAAGUAUCUGAAGUGCUCCUGACCUCUGGAAGUUGCCUUCUGGCUGAUAACUAAUUAUUACUAUCUGGCUGAUAUUAAUUAGUUAUUAUAAUAAUUAUAUUAAUAUCUACAUUAACCAGUCAUUAAUAUAUUAAUAAUUAUUAUAAUAAUUGUUAUUAUUAUAACUAAUUAUUAUUAUCUGGCUGAUAACAAGAUUUCUGAUCUGUUUCUGCAGGGCUCUGUCCUGGCAAGAUACUCUCCCUGUAUGUAUCCUCUCCCAGAGCAUCUCCAAGUAUAACUUGGGAGCCAUAAAUUCUCAUUAUGCACAUAAGAGAAAUAUACAACAGAAGGUUAAUUGAUUUCUUUUGGCAAAGCACAGCUCCAAGUCCUGUUGUCUGAGCAGCACGACUGACUGCAGAGAGAAAAUAAGGCGUCUUGAAAAAGAAAUUCUCCCAUACCCAGCAAAUAACAGGCAGACAUGCAGCUAAUAACAAAUCCUCCUCCAGAAAUUCUUCCCCGAAGACCACCGAACCCUGUCAGCAAGAGCAGACGGGACCCAGUCGACAGCAGAGACACCACGCACAUGGCAGGGAGAGAAGCCUUACUCAGCAG